AGCUACUAGAGGACGCCCGUUCCAAUGGCAACUCUGCCAAGGCGCCUAUGAGAGCCUCUUGGCUUUUACCUGGUCUGCGAGAAAUCAAACUUUGGGCACAAGUCAUGAAGCCGACAAGCCCGGGAGACACAGUGUCAGAAUUACAAGGAACACUACAAGGCCUGUUAGAGAAGAAAGGGUAGAAUCCCGAGAAUGUUUUCCCCACAGUGCUGAUAAGGAGAGACCACUAUCCCAUCUACUGCUACAGCUCUGGAGACAGAGCUCUCCCACCUGUCAUAUAGAACACAAGGACCAAUCUGCAGAGAAAGAGCAUCCAAACCUGAUCCAGUGGACACUGGGGAAAAACUCACCACAGCUGAGUGUGGAAAAACAAGGCCAACACACACAUCUCUGCACAGAUACAUCUCCCAUAAAGAAACUAAAGUGUUAAUUUACAGGGCACUGUUGCAGACCCACUUCAGCUGGAAGCUAGGAACAUGGACAAGGAGCCUCUCUACCACCAAGGGAGAGAGAGGAAUGUGCUCUUGUCCUGGCAUUGCAUCCACAGGAGGGGCAGGAAAUUCUUUGAAGGUUUUCAGAUCUCAUGACUACUUUAUUUUGGAGUUGCCAGACUCAGCAAAUAAAAAUACACGACACACAGUUAAGUUUAAUAUUCAGAAAGAAAACUGUUGUGGCAAGUCAGGGACCCCAAACGGAGGGACCGGCUGAAGCCAUGGCAGAAGAACAAGGAUUGUGAAGAUUUCAUGGACAUUUAUUAGUUCCCCAAAUUAAUACUUUUAUAAUUUCUUAUGUCUGUCUUUACUGCAAUCUCUAAACAUAAGUUGUGAAGAUUUCAUGGACACUUAUCACUUCCCCAGUCAAUAUCCUUGUGAUUUCCUAUGCCUGUCUUUACUUUAAUCUCUUAAUCCUGUCAGCUGAGAAGGAUGUAUAUUGCCUCAGGACCCUGUAAUAAUUGCAUUAACUGCACAAAUUAUACAGCGUGUGUGUUUAAACAAUAUGAAAUCUGGGCACUUUGAAAAAAGAACAAGAUAACAGCAGUGUUUAGGAAACAAGAUAGAUAGCCUUAAACUCUGACUGCUGGUGAGCCGGGCAGAACAGAGCCAUAUUUCUCUUCUUUCAAAAGCAAAUGGGAGAAAUAUCGCUGAAUUCUUUCUCAUGAUGGAACAUCCCUGAGAAAGAGAAUGUGUGCCUGCGGGUAGGUCUCUGAACUGGCCCCCCUGGGCAUAGCCUGUCUCUUAUGGUCGAGGCUGCCGAGAUGAAAUAGACUCCAGUCUCCCACAGCGCUCCCAGGCUUAUUAGGAAGAGGAAAUUCCCGCCUAAUAAAUUUUGGUCAGACCAGUUGAUCUCAAAACCCUGUCUCCUGAUAAGAUGUUAUCAAUGACAAUGGUGCCCAAAACUUCAUUAGCAAUUUUAAUUUCGCAUCGGUCCUGUGGUCCUGUGAUUGCGCCCUGCCUCCACUUGCCUUGUGAUAUUCUAUUAUCCUGUUAAGUACUUGAUGUCUGUCACCCACACCUAGUCGCACACUCCCUCCUCUUUUGAAAAUCUCUAGUAAAAACUUGCUGGUUUUUGUGGUUUGUGGGCCAUCACAGAUCCUACCAACGUGUGAUGUCUCCCCCGGACGCCCAGCUUUAAAAUUUCUCUUUUGUACUCUGUCCCUUUAUUUCUCAAGCUGGCCGACACUUAGGAAAAAUAGAAAAAAACCUACGUGAUUAUCGGGGCAGGUUCCCCAAUAGAAAACAAAUAACUUUUUAGUAUAACUAUAAAAUAAACAUUUGCGUGUAAUAUUUCUAUUCCCACCUAUUAUAUAUUACAUACAUACACACACACACACACACACACACAUCCUUUUGCUUACCUGAAUUUCAUAUUUAAUGUUCUUGGACUUUUUUUGUUGACCUCAAUCCAUAAGAACUGUAGUUCUCCCCAGUACAGUUUCAGCACCAAUGACCAAGUCUCAUCAGAGGAGGCCACAUGAUGAUCUAGCAGAUAGACUCUUUAUUCAGUAUGUGAGAGUCAUUUACAGACUGGGGACAUAAAUUAGAAAUGAUGAGCUGGAUGUCUUUU
rnacentral:lncRNA from 1 species